CAGCCGCCGCGGUAAUACGAAGGGUGCAAGCGUUACUCGGAAUUACUGGGCGUAAAGCGUGCGUAGGUGGUGGUUUAAGUCCGUUGUGAAAGCCCUGGGCUCAACCUGGGAAUUGCAGUGGAUACUGGGUCACUAGAGUGUGGUAGAGGAUAGUGGAAUUUCCGGUGUAGCAGUGAAAUGCGUAGAGAUCGGGAGGAACAUCAGUGGCGAAGGCGGCCAUCUGGCCUAAUACUGACGCUGAGGUACGAAAGCAUGGGGAGCAAACAGGAUUAGAUACCCCCGUAGUCCCUGUCUCUUAUAA
rnacentral:rRNA from 1 species